AGCAGUCGCCACGGGAAUACGUAGGUGGCAAGCGUUGUCCGGAAUUAUUGGGCGUAAAGCGCGCGCAGGCGGAUAGGUCAGUCUGUCUUAAAAGUUCGGGGCUUAACCCCGUGAUGGGAUGGAAACUGCCAAUCUAGAGUAUCGGAGAGGAAAGUGGAAUUCCUAGUGUAGCGAUGAAAUGCGUAGGUAUUAGGAAGAACACCAGUGGCGAAGGCGACUUUCUGGACGAAAACUGACGCUGAGGCGCGAAAGCCAGGGGAGCGAACGGGAUUAGAUACCCCAGUAGUCCCUGUCUCUUAUACA
rnacentral:rRNA from 1 species